AUUGAACGCUGGCGGCAGGCCUAACACAUGCAAGUCGAACGAGUGGCGGACGGGUGCGUAAUGUCUGGGAAACUGCCUGAUGGAGGGGGAUAACUACUUGAAACGGUAGCUAAUACCGCAUACCCUCAGAUGUACCCAUAUGGGAUUAGCUUGUUGGUGGGGUAACGGCUCACCAAGGCGACGAUCCCUAGCUGGUCUGAGAGGAUGACCAGCCACACUGGAACUGAGAAACGGUCCAGACUCCUACGGGAGGCAGCAGUGGGGAAGAUUGCACAAGGGGCGCAAGCCUGAUGCAGCCAUGCCGCGUGUAUGAAGAAGGCCUUCGGGUUGUAAAGUACUUUCAGCGGGGAGGCGUUACCCGCAGAAGAAGCACCGGCUAACUCCGUGCCAGCAGCCGCGGUAAUUC
rnacentral:rRNA from 1 species